rnacentral:rRNA from 1 species
GACGAACGCUGGCGGCGUGCUUAACACAUGCAAGUCGAGCGGUAAGGCCCUUUCGGGGGUACACGAGCGGCGAACGGGUGAGUAACACGUGGGUGACCUGCCCUCAGCUCUGGGAUAAGCCCGGGAAACUGGGUCUAAUACCGGAUAUGACUCCAUGACGCAUGUUGUGGGGUGGAAAGCCUUGUGCGGCUGAGGAUGGGCCCGCGGCCUAUCAGCUUGUUGGUGGGGUGAUGGCCACCAAGGCGACGACGGGUAGCCGGCCUGAGAGGGCGACCGGCCACACUGGGACUGAGAUACGGCCCAGACUCCUACGGGAGGCAGCAGUGGGGAAUCUUGCGCAAUGGGCGAAGGCCUGACGCAGCGACGCCGCGUGAGGGAUGACGGCCU